UUCAGAGGGAUCCAAAACUAUUAUUCGCAAUAAGGUGAAUGCAGAUUCCAGGGUUGAAUCUGUUCCUUCAACCCCUAUAGACCUUAGCAGUGAUACUAUAAUCAAUGACGAUAUUCCUGAAAAGGGUUUGGAUGAGAAUGUUCAUGACACUGGAUUUCUGUCAUCACAGGAUAAUUUUAUCGGUGAAGAUUCUUUUCUGGAUGAUGAGCCAGCACCCACUGCUGUGGUACCCACGUCAAGGCGCUUGUCACCACCAUGCCAUAAGACAUCCAGCUUGCUCGCUGUAUCUGCAGAGAGCGCACAAGCCAGUGUGGAAUGUAUGUUAAAACUGUAAAUGUUACAUUUUAAUCUAUCAAUUAUGAGUAUUUAAUGUGAAUUUUUUUUU